rnacentral:lncRNA from 1 species
GGGCACUGCUAAAAAUCCCACCAUACACAGGACAGCUCCCCACCACGUGGACCUAUCCAGCCUCCAAAUAUUAACAGGGCGUCUUGGGACCACCAGCGUGCUGCCAGGGAGCCAACUUCUGCCUGGUCAGCUAACUCCACCGUCCCAGAGCCUGGGGAAUAGCGAGGAGCGGCUGGAGACUGGCGCAUGAGAUCACCUCUCAUGGCGCGACGCUGCCUGAUCAGAAAAGUGUAGAGAAGAAAACAAAAGCCUUAAAAUGCUUCAUUCCUAGAAAGCCGCCGCUAACAGCUGGAGAACAUCCCUGCCCGUGUCUCAGCGCAAAUACACACCAAUAAAUCCAUGUUUCCAACUC